AGGUGUCACUGCAGUAGAGUGUAGUUCAGUUGACCCCUUUUUCAAAGCAUAUAACCGGGCAUCAUUCAGUUUGCUUUUUCACCAUGAACUCCAUCCAUCAACUCAAAUUGAGCACUUCUGUUAUCACUUCCACGUCAAUCACGGAGUUGGUACAUUCCCUUUCCGGUUAAUGUCAUUUGUAAAUGUGUUUAGGGACUUGUAAAAGUGUUUUGCGUCUUGUUAAUUUGUUUUCUGAAAUGUAAAUUUGUUUUCUGAAAUGUAAAUUUGUUUCGGGACUUGUAAAUGUGUUAUGGUAAUGUAAUUUUGUUUUAUGAUAUGUAAAAAUGUUUUCCAAAAUGUAAAUUUGUCUCAAGCUUUGUAAAAGUGUUUCAGAUUUUGUAAUGUUGGUUUGCACCUCUCGGCCACCGUACAACUCUCUUGUGAAACACCUGCAAGAACAAGGAGGUUGCUGCUGGCAGUGCCAGGCCAAUGUGUGUGUGUGUUUAUCUGGAGGAGUGUCUGUGUGCUGAACACAGCCACCUUGUGUGGUACUUGCACUUGUUGGUCCCACUUGCCAGCACUGAUAGCCACCUGCCUCAAGAUGACUCAGUCCUGGAGGUUACUUUGUGCGGCAGCUCUAACCUUGGUUGCCAUGUCGGUGGCGGUCCCUGAAGGAGAGAUUGUGGACCCACAGGACCCUGAGGUCCAGGCUUGUGCCUCGUUUGCCCUCGAAUCGCUCAGCUUCCGUGACAAGGCCCAUCAAUACAGCAUCAGAAGGGUGAUCUCUGUCAGCAAGGCGCCCAUUGGUGGGGGCCAGUAUGACAUGGAUGUUGAGGUGAAGAAGAUUCCGUGUGGCCCAGAAGGAGUUGACGCCUGCACUCCUGGCUCAGCAAAUGGACAGACUUUGCAUUGUAAGUUUGUGGUUCUGACUGCUCCGUGGAAGCAUCAGCGUGUUCUCUUAAGCAGCUCUUGCAGUGAUGAGUCUCAGAGUUAAACUGCAGAGAUUCCCCAGAGAGCCCAGCCCAGCCCCGACUUCACCUCUGCAUGACAUGUUAAUGUGUUAUAAAAGAUAAUAAAGUUUAAAAGAACAAUAUUACUUACA
rnacentral:lncRNA from 1 species